UGAGGAAUAUUGGGCAAUGCCCGCAAGGGUGACCCAGCAACGCCGCGUGGAGGAUGAAUGUCGUAAGAUUGUAAACUCCUGUUAGAGGGGAAGAAUAGUACCGGUUGGACCGGUAUAUGACUGUACCCUCAGAGAAAGCCCCGGCUAACUACGUGCCAGCAGCCGCGGUAAUACGUAGGGGGCAAGCGUUGUCCGGAUUUACUGGGUGUAAAGGGCGCGCAGGCGGGAUAAAAAGUCAGUGGUGAAAUCUUACAGCUUAACUGUAGAACUGCCUUUGAUACUUUUAUUCUUGAGUUCGGGAGAGAGGGACGGAAUUCCAGGUGUAGUGGUGAAAUACGUAGAUAUCUGGAAGAACACCAGUUGCGAAGGCGGUCUCUUGGUCCGACACUGACGCUGAGGCGCGAAAGCGUGGGGAGCAAACA
rnacentral:rRNA from 1 species